GUGACCCUGCGGUUAAAACCCGCGCGCUGCAGCAUCGCGGAAAACGGGAUUCGCCUCAUUUGAAACUUGAGGAAAAUCUCUAAACACUUUCAUUUUGAUAGAAACCAUUUCCGCCGCUGACGUGCGUCUACGCCCAUCAUUUCAGCUGACACGUUGCUGUAACGUCUCCUCCGUUUCAUGCUCUUUCGAACCCUGUCAGCUGCGGGAAGGAACUUCUAAACUAAAAGCUGGCAAGACUCAGCAGAAAAAAAAUAUCGAAAGCUGCUUCUGCUGCCCCAGCUUCACUCAGGCCCUGGCUGCUCCUUCACUGGUCUACACUGCUGCCUCCUGGAACCACCCACUCUGCAACCAGCCGUGAGGCGUGAGGCUCACUCGGAAGCUCCCGGAACCUGGAGACUGCCCUCACUCAACACUUGAACAAGCAAGGGGCCAGGUUCAAUGAAACACCUGCCCGCCCGGCACACCAGGCUCAAAAGCAAGCAAGCAAGCAAACAAACAAACAAAAUCAAAUCAGGCCUUCACAACUCCCCAAAUCAUGUGUGAGUUUCUACAGAGCAGAAGCCAAAAAUAUAUGUUAUCUAACUAGGUCCUAUUUACAUAUAUUUUUAUGGCUGCUCUAAAAAAUUAUCACAAACAUAGCGGCUUCACCCCGUUUCCCCUGUUGUGAUUAUUACACAUUGGAUGCCUGUAUCAAAAUAUCUCAUGGACCCCAUAAAUAGCAACACCCUGUAUGUACUCAUGACAAUUUUUUAAAAAAGAACACUUACACUUUC
rnacentral:lncRNA from 10 species